rnacentral:rRNA from 1 species
UCAAGUCUCUUGUGAAAUCUAAUGGCUUAACCAUUAAACUGCUUGGGAAACUGAUAGUCUAGAGUGAGGGAGAGGCAGAUGGAAUUGGUGGUGUAGGGGUAAAAUCCGUAGAUAUCACCAAGAAUACCCAUUGCGAAGGCGAUCUGCUGGAACUCAACUGACGCUAAGGCGCGAAAGCGUGGGGAGCAAACAGGAUUAGAUACCCUGGUAGUCCACGCCCUAAACGAUGUACACUAGUUGUUGGGGUGCUAGUCAUCUCAGUAAUGCAGCUAACGCAUUAAGUGUACCGCCUGGGGAGUACGGUCGCAAGAUUAAAACUCAAAGGAAUAGACGGGGACCCGCACAAGCGGUGGAGCAUGUGGUUUAAUUCGAAGAUACGCGAAGAACCUUACCUGGGCUUGAUAUCCUAAGAACCUUUUAGAGAUAAGAGGGUGCUAGCUUGCUAGAACUUAGAGACAGGUGCUGCACGGCUGUCGUCAGCUCGUGUCGUGAGAUGUUGGGUUAAGUCCCGCAACGAGCGCAACCCACGUAUUUAGUUGCUAACGGUUCGGCCGAGCACUCUAAAUAGACUGCCUUCGUAAGGAGGAGGAAGGUGUGGACGACGUCAAGUCAUCAUGGCCCUUAUGCCCAGGGCGACACACGUGCUACAAUGGCAUAUACAAUGAGACGCAAUACCGCGAGGUGGAGCAAAUCUAUAAAAUAUGUCCCAGUUCGGAUUGUUCUCUGCAACUCGAGAGCAUGAAGCCGGAAUCGCUAGUAAUCGUAGAUCAGCCAUGCUACGGUGAAUACGUUCCCGGGUCUUGUACUCACCGCCCGUCACACCAUGGGAGUUGAUUUCACUCGAAGCCGGAAUACUAAACUAGUUACCGUCCACAGUGGAAUCAGCGACUGGGGUGAAGUCGUAACAAGGUAACCGUAGGAGAACCUGCGGUUGGAUCACCUCCUUUCUA